GCGGACGUGCCCGAGUGGUUAAAGGGUCUGACUCGAAAUCAGAUGGUGUCGGUCGCAUAGGUUCGAAUCCUGUCGUCCGCG
rfam:Gonium pectorale scaffold01857, whole genome shotgun sequence.